rnacentral:rRNA from 1 species
UACGAAGGGGGGCUAGCGUUGUUCGGAAUCACUGGGCGUAAAGCGCACGUAGGCGGCUUUCUAAGUCAGGGGUGAAAUCCUGGAGCUCAACUCCAGAACUGCCUUUGAUACUGGAGAGCUUGAGUCCGGAAGAGGUGAGUGGAACUCCGAGUGUAGAGGUGAAAUUCGUAGAUAUUCGGAAGAACACCAGUGGCGAAGGCGGCUCACUGGUCCGGUACUGACGCUGAGGUGCGAAAGCGUGGGGAGCAAACAGG